rnacentral:RNase_P_RNA from 1 species
CCUGCACAUCGCUCCACCGCCUUCCCGGCUUGCCGGGGGGGAGGAAAGUCCGGACAGCAUAGGGUGCCGUGCUUCCUAACGGGAAGGGGCGCCACUGGGAACGGUGGCGUUACGGAAAGUGCCGCAGAAAGGGAGACCGCCACGCGCGAGCGGGGUAAGGAUGAAAAGGUGGGGUAAGAGCCCACCAGUG